rnacentral:rRNA from 1 species
ACAGGGAUUGCCCCAGUAACGGCGAGUGAAGCGGCAAUAGCUCAAAUUUGAAAUCUGGCCCUUUCAGGGUCCGAGUUGUAAUUUGCAGAGGGCGCUUUGGUGUCGGCAGCAGCCUAAGUUCCUUGGAACAGGUCAUCAUAGAGGGUGAGAAUCCCGUAUGUGGCUGCUUGUCUUCACCGUGUAAAGCCCCUUCGAUGAGUCGAGUUGUUUGGGAAUGCAGCUCUAAAUGGGAGGUAAAUUUCUUCUAAAGCUAAAUAUUGGCCAGAGACCGAUAGCGCACAAGUAGAGUGAUCGAAAGAUGAAAAGCACUUUGGAAAGAGAGUCAAAAAGCACGUGAAAUUGUUGAAAGGGAAGCGCUUGCAGCCAGACGUGCCCGUAGUUGCUCAUCCGGGGAUUUCCCCGGUGUACUCUUCUGUGGGCAGGCCAGCAUCAGUUCGGGCGGUUGGAGAAAGACCUGUGUCACGUAGCUCUCUUCGGGGAGUGUUAUAGGGCAGGUGGAAUGCAACCAGCCUGGACUGAGGUCCGCGCAUCUGCUAGGAUGCUGGCGUAAUGGCUGUAAGCGGCCCGUCUUGAAACACGGACCAAGGAGUCUAACAUCUAUGCGAGUGUUUGGGUGUCAAGCCCGAGCGCGUAAUGAAAGUGAACGGAGGUGGGAACCCCUCGGGGUGCACCAUCGACCGAUCCUGAUGUCUUCGGAUGGAUUUGAGUAAGAGCAUAGCUGUUGGGACCCGAAAGAUGGUGAACUAUGCCUGAAUAGGGUGAAGCCAGAGGAAACUCUGGUGGAGGCUCGCAGCGGUUCUGACGUGCAAAUCGAUCGUCAAAUUUGGGCAUAGGGGCGAAAGACUAAUCGAAC